GAUGAACGCUGGCGGCGUGCUUAACACAUGCAAGUCGAACGGUGAAGCAGGAGCUUGCUCUUGUGGAUCAGUGGCGAACGGGUGAGUAACACGUGAGCAACCUGCCCCUGACUCUGGGAUAAGCGCUGGAAACGGCGGCGAAUACUGGAUAUGUGAUGUGACCGCAUGGUCUGCAUCUGGCAAGAAUUUCGGUUGGGGAUGGGCUCGCGGGCUAUCAGCUUGUUGGUGAGGUAAUGGCUCACCAAGGCGUCGACGGGUAGCCGGCCUGAGAGGGUGACCGGCCACACUGGGACUGAGACACGGCCCAGACUCGUACGUGAGGCAGCAGUGGGGAAUAUUGCACAAUGGGCGGAAGCCUGAUGCAGCAACGCCGCGUGAGGUAUGACGGCCUUCGGGUUGUAAACCUCUUUUAGCAGGGAAGAAGCGAAAGUGACGGUACCUGCAGAAAAAGCACCGGCUAACUACGUGCCAGCCGCCGCCGUAA
rnacentral:rRNA from 1 species